GGAGAUCCAGUGUGGUGCAGUGGUUAGAGCGGUGGACUCGUAAUCUGGUGAACUGGGUUUGAUUCCCUGCUCCUCCA
rnacentral:tRNA from 1 species